AAUUCCUUGUCGGGUAAGUUCCGACCUGCACGAAUGGCGUAACGACUUCCCCGCUGUCUCCAACAUCGACUCAGCGAAAUUGAAUUGCCUGUCAAGAUGCAGGCUUCCCGCGGUUAGACGGAAAGACCCCGUGCACCUUUACUACAGCUUCACACUGGCAUCAGGCACAACAUGUGCAGGAUAGGUGGUAGACUUUGAAGCAGGAACGCUAGUUCCUGUGGAGUCAUCCUUGAGAUACCACCCUUGUUCUGCUUGAUGUCUAACCGCGGUCCGUUAUCCGGAUCCGGGACCCUGUGUGGCGGGUAGUUUGACUGGGGCGGUCGCCUCCUAAAGGGUAACGGAGGCGCCCAAAGGUUCCCUCAGCGCGGAUGGAAAUCGCGCGGAGCGUGCAAAGGCAAAAGGGAGCUUGACUGCGAGACGGACAGGUCGAGCAGGGACGAAAGUCGGGACUAGUGAUCUGACGGUGGCUUGUGGAUGCGUCGUCACUCAACGG
rnacentral:rRNA from 12 species